rnacentral:rRNA from 1 species
UGGGGAAUAUUGCACAAUGGGCGAAAGCCUGAUGCAGCGACGCCGCGUGAGGGAUGACGGCCUUCGGGUUGUAAACCUCUUUCAGCAGGGAAGAAGCGAAAGUGACGGUACCUGCAGAAGAAGCGCCGGCUAACUACGUGCCAGCAGCCGCGGUAAUACGUAGGGCGCAAGCGUUGUCCGGAAUUAUUGAGCGUAAAGAGCUCGUAGGCGGUUAGUCGCGUCUGCUGUGAAAACUCGAGGCUCAACCUCGGGCUUGCAGUGGGUACGGGCUGACUAGAGUGCGGUAGGGGGUGACUGGAAUUCCUGGUGUAGCGGUGGAAUGCGCAGAUAUCAGGAGGAACACCGAUGGCGAAGGCAGGUCACUGGGCCGCAACUGACGCUGAGGAGCGAAAGCAUGGGGAGCGAACAGGAUUAGAUACCCUGGUAGUCCAUGCCGUAAAACGUUGGGCACUAGGUGUGGGGCUCCAUUCCACGGAUUCCGUGCCGCAGCAAACGCAUUAAGUGCCCCGCCUGGGGAGUACGGCCGCAAGGCUAAAACUC